GCAGACAAGGUGGAAUGGACAAACAAGAUACGCAAUGUCAUUCAACCAUCCAAAGGAGGACAAACGAGAGGUGCAUCCUCCGAAGGUGGUCUUACCAUGCGGCAGAGUCUAUCUGAUGGUUCCCUAGAUACUAUGGCUCGAAAACCUGCUGAUCCUGAAGAAGAGCUGCGGUGGAUGUCUCAAGAAGUUCGUGGUUAUGUUGAAGCAGUUUUGAAUAGUUUGGCUGCAAAUGUCCCCAAGGCUGUUGUACUUUGUCAAGUUGAGAAGGCCAA
rnacentral:misc_RNA from 1 species